AUUUUUUUUUUUAAUUUCCGCAAAUAAAAUUCAAUAUAAAAAUGCGUCUGUCAAUAAUUAUUUUAAUAGUUAUUUCAAAUUAAUAUAAAUUUAUAAAUCAUAUUUAUCAAAAAAUUUAUAAUAAAAAUUUAAUUUUAAAAAAGUAAAUUUAUCUAUUAUAUUUUAUUUAGAAAUAUCUGUCAUAUCAUAAUUCAAAUUCAAAUAGUUGCUUUCCACAAAAAUUAUAUAGUUCUAUUUUUUUACUUUUUAUA
rnacentral:lncRNA from 1 species